CCUAACACAUGCAAGUCGAACGGUAACAGGAAGAAGCUUGCUUCUUUGCUGACGAGUGGCGGACGGGUGAGUAAUGUCUGGGAAACUGCCUGAUGGAGGGGGAUAACUACUGGAAACGGUAGCUAAUACCGCAUAACGUCGCAAAACCAAAGAGGGGGACCUUCGGGCCUCUUGCCAUCGGAUGUGCCCAGAUGGGAUUAGCUAGUAGGUGGGGUAACGGCUCACCUAGGCGACGAUCCCUAGCUGGUCUGAGAGGAUGACCAGCCACACUGGAACUGAGACACGGUCCAGACUCCUACGGGAGGCAGCAGUGGGGAAUAUUGCACAAUGGGCGCAAGCCUGAUGCAGCCAUGCCGCGUGUAUGAAGAAGGCCUUCGGGUUGUAAAGAA
rnacentral:rRNA from 1 species